rnacentral:misc_RNA from 1 species
GAUGAAGAACGCAGCGAAAUGCGAUAAGUAAUGCGAAUUGCAGAAUUUCCGUGAAUCAUCGAAUCUUUGAACGCACAUUGCGCCCUUUGGUAUUCCUUAGGGCAUGCCUGUUCGAGCGUCAUUUAAACCUUCAAGCUAAGCUUGGUGUUGGGUGACUGUCCGCUUCACGGCGGACUCGCCUCAAAAUUAUUGGCGGCCGGUACAUUGGCUUCGAGCGCAGCAGAAACGCGAACUCGGGCCCGUCGUAUUGGCUCCCAGAAGCUAUCUUCACAAUUUUGACCUCGGAUCAGGUAGGGAUACCCGCUGAACUUAAGCAUAUCAAUAAGCGGAGGA